rnacentral:lncRNA from 1 species
CCAUGAUCUAGGGCGAGCGGCAGGUGGGAGAUUAGAACCCGCGAGGCUGCCGCGGCUUCUGCUCCCUCCCUGCUAAGCUCUGUCCCACAAUGCACCCGAGAGCAGCAGCUGAAAGCCUCUAACACCCACAGAUCCCUCUAUGACUGCAAUGUGAGGGGAGUCGUGUUCUCAGACUUGUCAGCAUUUCAGCACCCAGUUAUGACAUGUCACGUGGACUACUACUGGUAAAAAUGUGAGCAUCCAGAUGAGUGCAUUUUUCGCUUUUAAAGUCAGUUUCUGUUGCUUACAACCAAAGCACCCUAACUGCAGGAGUCACAGCUGAAGAUUGGGAAUAUGUAAUACCACCUAGCUUCUCUGGGCAGCAACUCAGUAGAUUGUGUUCAGCGCU